UCGUGGGGCUUCGGCCCCGUCGAGAUAGCACCCUUGCCUUUAUGAGUACCUUGGUUCCCUCCCCCGACCUCACGGGGAGCGGGAGGCACCUCGCGUUUCUUAAAACCAAACUCUUUGUAAUCACCUGUAACCGUCUGAUAAAAUAAACAAAAAUCA
rnacentral:misc_RNA from 1 species